UAUGCUGCUAGCACUUCUGUUAGGCAGUGGUAUAAUAUGUAACUGGAAAAGAAAACCCCUCCUGUUAUAUUUUCCCUUAUACGUUACUAGCACAUGCAGUGCACGUUAAGAACAAUAGUCUUUUGUUCUGUUCUGUUUAUAAAAAGAAGAAAAAGCAUCCAGAACAAUGGGUGAGAAGAAACAAAAACCUGUCGCCUAAAUCAAGGGAUUGGUAUUCUCCAAAUCAUUGCUACCGCAUUGAGCCAUUUUCUCUGAUUCAGGCUGCCCCUGCUGAAUUUUAGAGAGCGUCAAAACUUAUUGGUUAAAGGGAUGCCUUUAUGAGUAAAACAUGAGAAAUAUUCACUUACUAGGUAAGCAAUUUGUAAGGACUGGAAGUAGAAAUUAAGCAACCAAGACAAGAAGGCUGUCCUAUCAGUUUCAAGAACAACUAAGAGGAUGUUAAAGGUGAUGUUGUGA
rnacentral:lncRNA from 1 species